AAAUGCGAUAAGUAGUGUGAAUUGCAGAAUUCAGUGAAUCAUCGAAUCUUUGAACGCACAUUGCGCUCCUUGGUAUUCCAUGGGGCAUGCCUGUUCGAGCGUCAUUUGUACCCUCAAGCUCUGCUUGGUGUUGGGUGUUUGUCCCCGUCUCCGCGCGUGGACUCGCCCCAAAGUGAUUGGCAGCCGGCGUACUGGUCCCGGAGCGCAGCACAUGUCGCGCAAACGAGUGCCUUGGUACGGCGGCGUCCAUAAGCCCCUCUCUCACGCUCUUGACCUCGGAUCAGGUAGGGAUACCCGCUGAACUUAAGC
rnacentral:misc_RNA from 1 species